UGUAAUGUGGUGUAGAUUGCAUAUUAUGUUUUGGUCAUGAUGGAGGUUUGUUACCCGUUACAU
rnacentral:tRNA from 1 species